UUCUGGUUGAUCCUGCCAGAGGUUACUGCUAUCGGUGUUCGCCUAAGCCAUGCGAGUCAUAUGUUCUUCGUGAACAUGGCGUACUGCUCAGUAACACGUGGAUAACCUGCCCUUGGGUCCGGCAUAACCCCGGGAAACUGGGGAUAAUUCCGGAUAACGCAUAUAUGCUGGAAUGCUUUAUGCGUCAAAUGGAUUCGUCUGCCCAAGGAUGGGUCUGCGGCCUAUCAGGUAGUAGUGGGUGUAAUGUACCUACUAGCCUACAACGGGUACGGGUUGUGAGAGCAAGAGCCCGGAGAUGGAUUCUGAGACAUGAAUCCAGGCCCUACGGGGCGCAGCAGGCGCGAAAACUUUACAAUGCGGGAAACCGUGAUAAGGGGACACCGAGUGCUAGCAUCAUAUGCUGGCUGUCCAGGUGUGUAAAAUACACUUGUUAGCAAGGGCCGGGCAAGACCGGUGCCAGCCGCCGCGGUAACACCGGCGGCCCGAGUGGUGAUCGUGAUUAUUGGGUCUAAAGGGUCCGUAGCCGGUUUGGUCAGUCCUCCGGGAAAUCUGAUAGCUUAACUAUUAGGCU
rnacentral:rRNA from 1 species